AAAGUAACAAUUUCAUUGGAAAUGAUACUUAACACAAUUAAAAGAUUGUAAUUUUUCAGGUAGAGUAAGUGUGAAAAUAAGUGUAACAGUGCGUACCGGAACACCACGUCUCCACCGGGAACAGAUUCGUCGUCGUCCGUAAGAUAAUCUUCUCCCUGACUUCGGCAGUGCGUCGUGGCUCUCACCUGAACUCCAAUCUCAGAUGAACUAAAGGUCUGCUGCCGAAAAGUUUUCACGAUGUGGCAGGAAGAGCUUCUACAAGUUGAGAUAUCUAUAGCAAUCCAUAGCAGCGUCGGAAGGGUUGGACUCGAGGGAGCCUGGUCAGUACUGGGCAGAACGGUGAAAAUCAACUAAAGCAACAAGGUACUCCCGUCAACCAUGGUGGACCAACAACACUGAACACAGAAAUCAUCAAUCAACUACAAGAAGUACUAGCAUCUGUAUAUAUAGCAUCCCCUCCCAUCUGUUAUAAUCAAUGCCUUGUAAUAUUUCUUUCUUUUUUAACAUGUGCACAAAUAUUAAUAAAAAAAUCUGCGGGGGGUGGGGCGUU